CACCCGGUAGCACAUGGUGUGCAUCUGCCUUCUUUAAAGAGGGUCCACCGCCGCUGCAUGCAGAAGGCCCCCGUUCGAUCCGGGGUCGGGUGA